ACAUCUUUUUCUGUUAAAGUAUCAAAUCAGGAAAAUUCCACAUCUCAAUUUGGCUUCUCAUUUGAUGAAAGUGGUAUAACAACAGCUGUUCCCUCCACGCCACGUGCAAGUUCCUCACUAGCGACACACUUUGAUAUAGCGGUCCUGCGCUGUCUCUUCAUCUCACAGUGGAACGAAGAUGGGGUUUUCUGGGCAACUUCAUACUUAGAUAAAAGGUAAGUUUAUUUGAAGUCUUU